CAAGGGAUUUUCCGCAAUGGGCGCAAGCCUGACGGAGCAACGCCGCGUGGAGGAUGACGGCUCUCGGGUUGUAAACUCCUUUUACGGGGGAUGACAUCGACAGUACCCCGCGAACAAGCCCCGGCUAACUACGUGCCAGCAGCCGCGGUAAUACGUAGGGGGCCAGCGUUGUCCGGACUUACUGGGCGUAAAGCGCGCGCAGGCGGUCGCGUAUGUGCCGUGUGAAAGCGCCGGGCUACUCCCGGCGAGGUCAUGGUAGACAGCGCGACUUGAGCCUCGGAGAGGUCGGUGGAAUUCCGGGUGGAGCGGUGAAAUGCGUAGAGAUCCGGAGGAACACCAGGGGCGAAGGCGGCCGACUGGCCGAGUGCUGACGCUGAGGCGCGACGGCGUGGGGAGCAAACCG
rnacentral:rRNA from 1 species